rnacentral:rRNA from 1 species
UACGUAGGUGGCUAGCGUUGUCCGGAUUUACUGGGCGUAAAGGGCGCGUAGGCGGCUUUGCAAGUGACGGGUGAAAGCCCUCGGCUUAACCGAGGAACUGCCUGUCAGACUGUGAGGCUUGAGACCGGGAGAGGUGAGUGGAAUUCCCAGUGUAGCGGUGAAAUGCGUAGAUAUUGGGAGGAACACCAGUGGCGAAGGCGGCUCACUGGACCAGAACUGACGCUGAGGCGCGAAAGCGUGGGGAGCAAACAGG